GUAGGUGAACUGUUAAGAACGUGGAAGAAGCUGCCCAAAAUUGAGAACAUGCCAAACAUUAACAUUAAUAACGCUGUGACCUCUCCAAAUGUAAACUAUAUUCGCUGGAAAGUGCAUGGAGACUGGAUUACUCAGCUGAACUACUAUGAUUCCAUCAAAGCCGUCAUUUCAAGCUCCAACCAUGAGCCCACUGCUCUAGUAAUAGUGGAUCCCUCAGAGGGUGAAGAGCCCAUCUGUCAUGCCACUUUGCCACCAACAGACUGGCUGCCACUCUGGGUCCCCAGUCCAGCUGCUCCUGAGAAGAUUCCCAAUAGAGCAUGUUGGCCCAUCUUUGGGACAAUUGCAAGCCAAAUGACCCAGGAAAGGCAGGGGCAGUAAGAACCUGGCAGUGUCUGUCCAACCACAUGAUGUAUGAAGAGGUGUGCUUUCAGAAGUAAGAGUGGAGAGAGGAGGUUUGCUAAAAAAAAAAAAAAAAAAAAAAAGUGAAGAGUGAUGACUGCACUGAGUCACACAACUCAGAAAUGGAAGACCAAGGACUGGAAUCCGGGUUGUCCAGGCUGGUGCUUGUAAUCCUUGAAUGCACAGCAAUGGCAUCCCCUGUGUGUGCACUAGAAUUCCAGGGUCCCAGGCCCCCCUUGGAACAAUGGAAUCAGUCUACACUUGAAAAAGAACUGAAGGUGACUUAUGUACAUGUCAAGUCCAAGAAGCAUCCUUUAGUCACAAUAACAAUAUUUUCUCUUUUUUUGUGUUAUACUAAUAUUUUUAUAGUUUUUUCUAAUAAUUUGCCCUUUGAAGAUCUCAAUUCCUCAUAUUUACUUCAUUAAACUUUAUACUUAUUUUGUGAAGCCCUUGAGAGUAUGUUGGAAAGCCCCAUCCAAUUAUUCAGCAUCACUAUCACCAUAUUUAAUUUUCAAGUUUAUUCUAACAGUGAUUCCUUCCAUGUGUUUAGUGUUUACUAAUUUGUAAGAACUUUCACAUUCAUUGGUGGUUCUCAGUCUUCACUGCCUAUUGGAAUCAUCUGCGGACUUAAUAAAAGCUAGAUACAUGGGUCUUAUACUCA
rnacentral:lncRNA from 12 species